GACCGUGGUAUUGCCAAGGUGGAUCACCUGUUCCCAUCUCGAACACAGCAGUUAAGCACCUUCGGGCCGAAAAUACUUGGGCGUCAGGCUCCGGGAAAAUAGGACGCUGCGGUCA
rnacentral:rRNA from 1 species